CCAAGUCACAUUGGCAUGCUGGUACAGCCCAGAAGCAAAGUUCAAUUUGUAGUGAACAUUUUACUUCAGAAGAUUUUACUAACUAUCAUAUGUUCACAACGGGACAUGCAAGAAAACUUGUUUUAAAAAAAGAAGCCAUUCCUUCAAUAUACCCUGAUCCUGUAAGAAACAUUCAUUUGGAAUCAACAGAAGAAUUUAUAAACUUGGAAGAAACAGAUCCACCACCUGGUACAAGUCAAGAAUUAAUUAAUCAAAGCACACAGUUUUGUCCAGUUAUGAAAGACAAGGGAACACAAUGUUUCUUUGCAGAUUUUAAAUCCACUGAGACUGCUUCAAUAGAAACCCAAACAGCAACCAUAGAAAGCAACAUAACAAGAUUUGAUCCUAUUGAAUCUUCAACGCCUCAUAAAAAAAAAAGCAUGAUGAAACAUUAGAGAGUACAAGUAUGACACACAUUGAUGAUGAAAUUACAGACCCAACAUUUGUUCCUGAAGAUGCCUCCAUGAACGCAAGCAACAUCGACCUUUUUCCAGGUGACACAUCUUUUAUAGAGGCUGGCCCAAUUCAAGAAGAAAAGUUCAUUGUGUUUAAUAGUAAUCUCAUGGAAUUGUUUGCCACCUGCCCGUUAUGCACUGGAGAAUGUCAAUCUGCAAUUAAAAAUAGAAGAGGAUCCUUUAUUGAAGUGGAACAAGCAUGUACCAAAUGUUCCUUUUUACGGAAGUGGUCAAGUCAACCACUAAUUCGAAAUGCCCCUGUUGGAAACUUGCUUUUGUCUUGUGGUAUUGCAUGUAAUGGCUUAUCAUAUACAAAAGCUGUACGGUUGUUCAAAUCCAUCAACAUUGCAGCAAUUUCGCAGACAACUUUUAAAAGGCAUUUUUCUAACAUUAUUCAGCCCAUAGUACAUUGUGUGUGGAUAAAAGAACAGCAGACAAUCUUGCAAGAAACUAAAACAAGAAGUAAUGAUCUGGUUAUAUGUGGGGAUGGCAGAUGUGACAGUCCUGGUCACAGUGCGAAAUAUGGGACAUACACCAUGCUUGAUGCUCAAUCCAACAAACUGGUACACUUUCAGCUUGUGCAGAGCAAUGAAACAAAAAGUAGCAACGCUAUGGAAAAGCAUGGAUUUAUAAAAUGUGUUGACUUUCUCGAAGAACAAGGUUUCCGCAUCAAAAGUCUGAUUACAGACCGACAUAUCGAGAUUGCGGCACAUGUCAGAAAAACAAUGCCCGAUACAGAGCAUUAUUAUGAUGUUUGGCAUGUUGCCAAAAGUAUUAAAAAACGUCUCAUGAAAAUUCAAAGAAAAAAAGAUUGCCAUAUUAUUCAAGAAUGGUCUAAAAGCAUAAUUAAUCAUCUGUACUGGUGUGCUGGUUGUUUAGAUGAUGAACACUAACCAGUUAAAAUUAUUCUAAAGGUAUUAAAAAACGUCUCAUGAAAAUUCAAAGAAAAAAAGAUUGCCAUAUUAUUCAAGAAUGGUCUAAAAGCAUAAUUAAUCAUCUGUACUGGUGUGCUAUGUCAUCUGAUGGAUCCAUUCGAGAAUUGAUUGUGGACAAAUGGAAGUCAAUCCUAAACCACAUACAAAAUGUACAUGUUCAUGAUAGCCUUAUCUAUCCACGCUGUGCACAUCCACCUUUAUCCGAAGACGAACCAAGAAAGAAAUGGUUAGAUUGCACUACACAAGCAUAUGUAGAACUUGAAAAAGUAGUUCUUAACAAAAGGCUUUUAAAAGAUAUAGCUCAGUUGAGCACCCGACAACAAACGUCAUCAUUGGAGGCAUACAACAGUUUGCUACUGCAGUUUGCCCCAAAGCUUCGUGCGUUUUCUCACCGUGGAAUGCUAUGCCGGUAAUAUUGUGACUUUAAAAAUACUAAUUAUUUCUAAAAAGCUAUAACGUUUACAAUUUUCAGACACUUUUUAGCUGCAUUGCACUACAAUGAAAAUUGUGGAAGAAAGUUUUUAAAGCGAAACGAUGGAAGCUCUGUGGUAAAAUAUUAUUUUCCAAAAUACAAAAAAGGCGAGUUUUCUGUCCGAAGACAAAAAGAGGAAGCCACUUUUGGUAUAAAAAGCCCAGUAUACAAAUAUUAAGCAAUAUAUUUCAAUUCAUUUUUAUGCUCUAGGUUAUGUUUCAAAAGUCCUAUGUGGUGCUUUAAAGCUUGAUGCAAAUGAGCUUAAUGUACUACAACAACAAUGGGAUGGUGUUGCCACUCCAGAAUUCCUAAGCGUUCUCACUCAGAGUCAGGCGCCGUGACAUCGGCGAACAAGGAAAUCUCGGCGGGCAUCGCGGCCCCCACUCGCCGCGGAAGUUGCCACAAAUAUCCGUGGCCUCGCCCACGCGCAACAAAGGAAAUCCAGCUUGCGUCGUGAAAGC